rnacentral:rRNA from 1 species
UACGGAGGGUGCUAGCGUUGUUCGGAAUCACUGGGCGUAAAGGGCGUGUAGGCGGUCUGUUAAGUCUGAUGUGAAAUCCCCUCGCUCAACGAGGGAACUGCGUCGGAUACUGGCAGACUCGAGUACCGGAGAGGAAGGUGGAAUUCCCGGUGUAGCGGUGAAAUGCGUAGAUAUCAGGAGGAACACCAAUUGCGAAGGCAGCUCGCUGGGACGUUACUGACGCUGAGACGCGAAAGCGUGAGGAGCAAACAGG